GGGGGCGAAAUGGUUUCGACGGGGAUGAAGAAGUCCGAGCUGCGUGUCGUGGCGCCCCAGGCCACGUAAAAAGGGGCAAUCCUGCAACUGCGAACGAUAACGCUGUUGCUCUCGCUGCCUGAUUAAACACCAGACAACGACAGCGCCUUGAGCUUCCGUCUGUAGCAAGAGAGCGCUGAACCCAAUCAGACUAGCCAGCGAGCAAGCCUACGGGCUCGCCAGCGAACCAAACGUAGACUCAUCUCGGUAGCAGCUUGCUGCUGCGCGGCUAUCGGGAAACAUCAAAUCAGCAGAUACACACGAAGACGCUCGUUCAGAGGCAUUUCCGGACCCGGGUUCGACUCCCGGCGCCUCCACCA
rnacentral:tmRNA from 1 species